CGGGAGCCCGGGUCAGCUGGUUCGGGGGCGGGGCCUAAAGUGUGACGUCAGUGACAGACACUGAGGCAGGCGUUCUUCUUUGUGCCUCUGCUGGUCGUCUGAAACCCAUCGUCUGUUUAACCAGUAAAAUUUCACAUCACGACUUCACUUCUCCGACUCUUCUUGUUCCAUCAAACUUUAUUCUGUUUGAAGUGAGUUUGGUUGGAAUGUCAUGACAUCACUAUGAAGUCAACCAAUAAAACUAGAUGCAUGAUCUUGAUCAUA